rnacentral:misc_RNA from 1 species
UCGUAACAAGGUUUCCGUAGGUGAACCUGCGGAAGGAUCAUUACCGAGUGCAGGUCUGCCCCCGGGCAGGCCUAACCUCCCACCCGUGAAUACCUGACCAACGUUGCUUCGGCGGUGCGCUCCCCCCGGGGGCAGCCGCCGGAGACCACACCGAACCUCUUGUUAUAGCGUGUCGUCUGAGCUUGAUACAAGCAAACCUAAUUAAAACUUUCAACAAUGGAUCUCUUGGUUCCGGCAUCGAUGAAGAACGCAGCGAACUGCGAUAAGUAAUGUGAAUUGCAGAAUUCAGUGAAUCAUCGAGUCUUUGAACGCACAUUGCGCCCCCUGGCAUUCCGGGGGGCAUGCCUGUCCGAGCGUCAUUGCUGCCCUUCAAGCCCGGCUUGUGUGUUGGGUCGUCGUCCCCCCCGGGGGACGGGCCCGAAAGGCAGCGGCGGCACCGCGUCCUGGUCCUCGAGCGUAUGGGGCUUUGUCACCCGCUCGUUUAGGGCCGGCCGGGCGCCAGCCGGCGUCUCCAAACCUUUUAUUUUACCAGGUUGACCUCGGAUCAGGUAGGGAUACCCGCUGAACUUAAGCAUAUCAAUAA